UAAUUUCUAAGCAGCACUGGGACUGUCAUCUUCCCAGAAUGGAUUUUUCAACUUAACAGAGGGGUUUUGAAAGUUUGUUCCUGGGUCAGGCGUGGUGGCUUAUGCCUGUAAUCCCGGGACUUUUGGAGGUUGAGGCAGGAAGAUUGCCUGAGGUCAGGAGUUCGAGAUCAGCUUGGGCAACAUAGCAAGAACCCCCUCGUCUCUACCAAAAAUACAGAAGUUAGCUGGGGAUGGUGGCGCACCCCUGUGGUUCCAGCUACUAGGGAGGGAGCAGUAGGAGGAUCGCUGGAGCCCAGGAGUCUGACUGCAGUAAGCUAUGAUCAUGCCACUGCACUCUAGCCUGGGUGAUAUAGCGAGAGCUUGUCUCCAAAAAAAAAGUAAAAGGAGUUUGUUUUUCCUGUACUCUAGCGGGCCUCCCCUGCUGCUUUGCCAGGCUUUUUUCUGGGCUAUGUGUUUUGGGGGUGACAGUGGCUGGCUGAGAGCCCCCACUGUCUCCUGGCUGGCCAUGUAUCCCCGGCCGAGCCUUCUCAGUGGUUCGUCCCUGUCCAGGCAAUCCAGCACAUCGAGGGCACCCAGGAAAAGCAGGAGCUGGAGGAGGAGCAGCGGCGAGCUGUCAUCGUGAAGCCUGUCCGCAGCUGCCCGGAGGCCCCCACCUCUGACACCGCCUCCGACUCCGAGGCCUCAGACAGUGACGCCAUGGACCAGAGCCGGGAGGAGCCGUCGGGGGACGGGGAGCUUCCCUGACUACCCCCCCAGCCCUCCUCUCCCUUCUGGGGGCUGGAGGGAGCCGGGGCAGCCACAGGGAGAGACAUGGGCGAAUGAGUGAGAAAUUUUUACAAAAUUACGAUGUCAUUUGGGUCUCUUUUAUGACCUCUUUUUCAAUACUGUAAAUCGACCUUUGAACGAAGCCACUCAACCCGAGGUCCCGGGGCUGGGGUGUCGCAGAGCGUGUGGGAGCAUCGGCACCCCAGGGCGGGGCCUCGGCCCCGGGGGCUGGAGGAAGCUGACACGGAGAUGCCUGGCCUCUCUCUGCCAAAAAGCAUUUUUUCCUUUAAAUAUGUUUUUUAAGAACAGGGAAAAUUAAACAAAACCCCAGGUUAUUUCUUCCCUGCCCAGAGCCAGCCUGGGAUUGUCAGCCUUCAAUCCCCUUUCCUUCCUCUUUUUGGGUUUUCUUCUUUCUCCUUUAAGCACUUACAUGGUUGGGGGUAAGACUAGGCUGGGGCAUUCUGGGGGCCCGGAGGUCUCCGUUGCUUCUUGGUUGGGGUUUGCUGCUGCUGUGCCCCCCUCCCCCUUCCCCAUCUCGGCACUAGAAUUCGCCACUCUCCCACCCCCCAGCCCCCACCUCUGCCUCCAGGUCUCAUCUUCCACCCCAAAAAUGUCUGUCUCUCUCUUUUUGUUUUGUUUGUUGUUGGUUUUUUAUUUCUUUUUGGUUUGCUUUCUGUUUUUGUUUUGUUUUUCUUUUUUUUCUUUCUUUUUUUUUUUUUUUUACAAUUUUGAGGUCUUCGUGUUCAAGGAGAAGCUAUUAUAUUUUGUUAAGAAAGUGGGGAGAAAAAAACCAAGAGGCCACCGUGCCUUUGUAAAGAAACAAAAUAAAGUUUGUACUUUGUUUUUUA
rnacentral:lncRNA from 1 species